rnacentral:rRNA from 1 species
GCGAUGCUUCCGGCUUCCGCGUUGAAAUCGUAGGCCAAACAACGCCAUCCCCUAACAAAAUUAGUUUGCCCUAAGCAUCCAACAUAAGAGUCGGGACCCUGGGAGGGAUUUGCGCCACCAUGUUGAGGAUAGUUUAACCUCCUGCAAUAGCGAGUUGGAAGGGUUCUAAAUUUCAUUUUAUAAAGUAUUAAAUAGGGAUCGAGGACCGUAACAAACAUGUUGACGCUGCUAUCAGCGUACUCAUCGAGUUCCUGUGCGAACCUAAACGUCAUCAGUCCCCCCUCCCCAAGAAGCGUACUACGAAGAACCGAAACCGAAGACAAGAUCAUAGCAAAGUCGCAAAUGAAUCUCUUCUUUUGAGACCCUAAAAGGACUGCCCAAUUAAAGAACCAGCCCCUUUAAUGUUUCACAUGCCGCAGUCGGUUGACGUCAAGUUUGAUAAGAACAUUCUGGGUUGUGAGGGGUACGCUGCACCUCCAAAAAUUAAGAUACACACGUUAGAGGGCCCUGACGGAAUAAAGGUGUCGCAUCUUCGCUCGUGCGACCCGGUGUGUCUAGCGAAGGCCUUCAACCUCUUUCUACUCACUAGACACAUUCCCUAACAACUCAAGGAUUGUCGGACGACCCUCAUUCCCAAAACCGACGAUCCCCACCCCGACGCUGAAGAUUACCGGCCAAUAACAGUCGCUUCCUGUCUGUACCGGCUCUUCAGCAAAGUUGUAACGAGGCGGUUAGAAGACUCCCUUUCCCUCCAUCCACGUCAAAAGGCAUUCCGGUCAGGCACGGACGGCGCUUUUGACAACACAUCCACACUGAUGACUGUCAUACACACAACUUAUGGAAGUUCGGUUCUCAACACACUUCAUGUUGAUCGUGCUAAAUCAUUUUUAAUCGAGAUUGUUACAUCCCCCCUGCUCUUCAACGCCGUCAUGGACGUUUGGUAGAGCGCCUGCAACUACAGGUUUUAAAUUAAAGGGAGUCGAGGUCACAACACUAGCGUUUGCGGACGACGUACACUUAUAAGCCGUCCACUCCAUGUCAUUCUGGUUCCAAGGUGUUUCAAUGGCUGACAUUUCAAACACGAUGCCGUUGGUUACAGCAGUAUAGAGAAUGUAAAGCCCCCUCAAACAGAAAGGGAUUAUCUGAUGUUGGGAGGACAACAGAAAAUUGGAGCGUCUUGUAAAACGCUUUUAACCACCGGUCAAAUGUUGGAAUGGUUUCGUAGCGGAACCGAAUGUUUUUCUCCGGUUGAAGUCGCACUGCGCUUUAACUCCCAUUGCAAAGGGGCAGCAUCUGUGAGAACAUCACCCCGUUCCGUUUCAUUAACUCAGUCGCCCCUUCCACUAUACACACCGCACUCGACAUGAAAAGUUUCUGGACGUUCCGAAGGACCAUCAGACAAGCUCCGAAUUCUUUUCGGUUUUGCAUUUGUAGUUCUGCACUAAAGACUGAGUAAGCAGCCAUCUACUGACCGCGCCCCCUUCUAUUCCGAAGCGCGCCCUGAUAAACAAUACUGUAUACACCGUGGAAAGGAAAGAGCGAAUACCUCAAACUGAUGAACCUUCCCACUCUGCAUCAGUCCCCAAUGGAGUCACAAGGUGUCGCUUACGUUACUAUUCUUAUUAUUAUUAUUAUUAUUAUUAUUGUUUCUCAACGACUCAAUAAACGCCCAUUGGUACGCGUCACUAAUUAGGCUGACAGCAGCAGGCACUUUCCUCGUAGAGCGCCCUGCAAAUUCCGAAAUUAGCCAAAUGCCUCGUCAUCUAAUUAGUGACGCGUAUGAAUGGAUCAACAAGAUUCCUUCUGUCCCUAUCUACUAUCUAGCGAAACCACAGCCAAGGGAACGGGCUUGGCAAAAUCAGCGGGGAAAGAAGACCCUGUUGAGCUUGACUCUAGUCUGACUCUGUGAAGAGACAUGAAAGGUGUAGCAUAGGUGGGAGAUUGUCAAAUUGCCAUCGUUCGCGCGGUGGUCCGGUGAUCGCCAAUGAAAUACCACUACUUUGAUCGUUUCUUUACUUAUUCGGUAAAGCGAAAAAAUUGUGGCCAAUUUGGCGGUGUUUAUGUCGCUGUUGGUCAUUGUUUUCAUGUUAGAUUGAAGCUUUGUUUACAGCCGUCGCUUUGUGUCGCCAUUUGACGCAUUGUUGUACUGGGUUAUCCCGGUGUGUGGUGUAGUCAGUAUGGAUGAUCGGCGAUAGGUUUGAAGUGAUUCGCUCCGGAAACAGUGUCAGACGGGGAGUUUGACUGGGGCGGUACAUCUGUUAAACGAUAACGCAGGUGUCCUAAGGUAAGCUCAGCGAGGACAGAAACCUCGCUUAGAGUAAACGGGCACAAGCUUACUUGAUUUUGAUUUCCAGUACGAAUAGAAACCGCGAAAGCGUGGCCUAUCGAUCCUUUUGAUUGUGUAGAUUUCAUGCAAGAGGUGUCAGAAAAGUUACCACAGGGAUAACUGGCUUGUGGCAGCCAAGCGUCCAUAGCGACGUUGCUUUUUGAUCCUUCGAUGUCGGCUCUUCCUAUCAUUGCGAAGCAGAAUUCGCCAAGCGUUGGAUUGUUCACCCACCAAUAGGGAACGUGAGCUGGGUUUAGACCGUCGUGAGACAGGUUAGUUUUACCCUACUGAUGACAAGUCGUUGCGAUAGUAAUCCUGCUCAGUACGAGAGGAACCGCGGGAUCAGACAUUUGGUUCAUGCGCUCGGCUGAAAGGCCGGUGGCGCGAAGCUAGCAUCUGCAAGAUUAUGACUGAACGCCUCUAAGUCAGAAUCUUUUCUAGUCAUUGGCAACGAUAAGUUGCGUCCAGACUCGAUGCGAGGAAACGAUUAGGCUUUGCUAUACGGCGAAGCCAUUAUCAGACCACGGUAGCAGGCAGUAUGGGAUUGUUACGAAAAAGCAAUUUUUUGAAGUCAGUUGAAUUCAAUCAAACUGCUAACAAUUCCACUGCGAAUGACUCCAUUCGAAUCAAU